rnacentral:SRP_RNA from 1 species
UAACAAAGCCAUUAGAACAAUAACAUCGUAACCCGGUCAGGGCGUGAUUGCAGCAGCCGCAUCGAAACGUGUUGUGUCUAGUGGUUUUUUAUAAAAA